AAGACUAUACUUUCAGGGAUCAUUUCUAUAGUUCGUUACUAGAGAAGUUUCUCUGAAUGUGUAGAACAUCAGAAACCAUGAGGAGGAGGCACAGUGUUGUCUCCCGAGCGUGAAGCCAGGUCCUGGUGUUGCUUCGCUGCAACUGCCAUUUGCCAUUGAUUAUAGUUUUUCUCUUCCUUUGGGAAAGUAAGAGGGAAAGGAUGCAGUCUGAGUGGU
ensembl:snoRNA U3 Small nucleolar RNA U3